AUGUUCAGCAUAGAGGUUCCUUUCCUCAAUUAUUGCUGUAUUUCUUUACUUCCAUCUGUUUAUUCUAGACAGCCGAAGAAGUCCUUCUCAGACAUAGUCCUUUUUGUCAUAUCCUGCUGUAUUUCCACCCAUGCUGCGAGGGGCAGAGUAGCCCAUGCGGGGUGGGUACCUCUUCUCCUCUUUGGGGGGGGCAGGAGCUGCACAGCAUGCACCCUCCUAUCAGGAGCAAGGCGGCUGCCCCCCAGCCAAUGUAGAGGGAAGCCCCCAGCUCUCUCCUCUGGGCCUCGAUCAAAAGGGGGUUGUAGAAGUCUCGGAUGAUGGUGUUGGCUGACCAGCAGACAGGGAUGAGGAUAAGGAAACUGGCCAGGAUGAAGAAGAUUCCGGAGAUGAUCAUGACUUUUGCUUUGGAGGGUUCAUCAUCGAUACAGUUGGUGCACUUGGCUCCGACAAUGGAGAUCAUCACCGCUAGAACCCCGAGGAUGAUGGCGAUGAUGGUCAUGGCUCUGGCAGCCUGGAGGUCCUGGGCCAGGGCCAGCAUGGAGUCGUAGAUCUUACACUGCAUCUGGCCCGUACUCUGGGUUACACAGUUCAUCCACAACCCCUCCCAGAUGACCUGAGCAGUGACAAUGUUGGCUCCGAUGAAGGCUGUCACCCUCCACAUUGGCAAAGCACAGACCACGAUACCGAGGAUGAAUCCAAUGAAUCCCAGGGCGAUGCCCACGAUCUCCAUGCCCAUCGACAUUCUGGCUCCCUGGGUGAGUCUCUCUUCUACACCUGCCCUUUCUGGAGAAACGAUGAGGUCACUGGAAUCUAGAAGUGCACAAUAUUCUUAACUUCCAGAAUCAGGGACACAUUUUCUAGAAUAAACAGAGGAUUUAGUCCAGUUUAGAUUUGAAAUCCGUUAAUGUUCUUAUUACAAAAUAUAUAGAUUUGAAUCCUAAGAUUUGUCUUGUGUUCUUUGUGCUCUUCUUUGUGAUGGCAGCAUGUGUGAUCACCCCUCUUGAUCUCUGAUUUGUUGUUUAAUUGUGGCUUGGUAAUGCUACCAUGAAAACCAAGCUCCUUUAUAGCCCAGGGGAGGAAGAUGAGGAGGGAGGAGUCCUCUGUUGGUGAUGUCACUUAGCCGAACAGGUGCCUGCAGGCUCUUUAGAAAAACAGUAUUUGCCCAUAGAGGCUAUAGAAUGGAGGAGUGGGGGAGGAGGAGGGUGAACAAAAGAAAUGAGGCAAACACACUGUAGGUUUUACUAUCAUUGUGAAGACUCCAAAAGCCUUCAACUCUCUGUUAUUUCCUGUUAUUUGUACUAAGCUAACGUACAAAACUGUUUUACAGAGAUCAUGUAUGUCGUUUAACUCUUUGAAUUUGAGUUUAAAAACUUAAAUACCUGUAGGUAUUUCAAGAAAUAUUUGAAAAUCAUUGUAGAUUACAUUGAAAUUGACCUUGCAAAUGUUGAGAUCAUG
rnacentral:lncRNA from 1 species